rnacentral:rRNA from 1 species
AGUGAACGCUGGCGGUAGGCCUAACACAUGCAAGUCGAACGGCAGCACAGUAAGAGCUUGCUCUUACGGGUGGCGAGUGGCGGACGGGUGAGGAAUACAUCGGAAUCUACUUUUUCGUGGGGGAUAACGUAGGGAAACUUACGCUAAUACCGCAUACGACCUACGGGUGAAAGCAGGGGAUCUUCGGACCUUUCGCGAUUGAAUGAGCCGAUGUCGGAUUAGCUAGUUGGCGGGGUAAAGGCCCACCAAGGCGACAAUCCGUAGCUGGCAUGAGAGGAUGAAUAGCCAGAUUGGAACUGAGACACGCUCCAGACUCCUACGGGAGGCCGCAGUGGGGAAUAUUGGACAAUGGGCGCAAGCCUGAUCCAGCCAUACCGCGUGGGUGAAGAAGGCCUUCGGGUUGUAAAGCCCUGUUGUUGGGAAAGAAAAGCAGCAGGUUAAUACCCCGCUGUUCUGACGGUACCCAAAGAAUAAGCACCGGCUAACUUCGUG